GACGAACGCUGGCGGCGUGCUUAACAUAUGCAAGUGGAGCGACGAACCAGGCUUCGGCCUGGGGCAAAGCCGCGAACGGGUGAGUAACACGUGGGUAACCUGCCCCGAUGAUCGGGACAACCCGGGGAAACCCGGGCUAAUACCGAAUGUGCACCUGCCACAUCAGUGGCAGCUGGAAAGGAAGCUUCGGCCUCCGCAUCGGGAUGGGCCCGCGGCCCAUUAGCUUGUUGGUGAGGAACGGCUCACCAAGGCUGCGAUGGGUAGCUGGUCUGAGAGGACGAUCAGCCACACUGGGACUGAGACACGGCCCAGACUCCUACGGGAGGCAGCAGUGGGGAAUCUUGCGCAAUGCGCGAAAGCGUGACGCAGCAACGCCGCGUGGGGGAAGACGG
rnacentral:rRNA from 1 species